rnacentral:lncRNA from 7 species
GCAUCAUGGAAGAGAUGUAUAAAAAUACGUUCUCGACGGGAGGAUACCACACGUGGAUGCACUAGACCAAUAAUGAUCCAAUCACCUUAGCCUUAGAGCAUAGCAUUGUACGUGGCCUCAGAACAUAGCGUUGGCGAUGGAUCCAAACACAAAUGUUCUUGUCACCAUCUUGCAUUGACAAAGCAUGUGGUGGCAUGGAUAUAUAUAGCACUGAGUUAGAGCCAUCAUAUCACCGAUGGGUGUGUAAAAGCAACUUCCCUGCUAAAGAGUGCAUGAUCCACAUGAGGCGCAAGAUACCACCAAAUAGCGCUAGAGAAAAAACAAAAAAAAAAGAUAAUGAAAAAACCUGCCAACUUGUCCCUCUCAGCUUACUGAUAUGUAAACAAAAUGAGUAGCUCUUUAUCUUGGAAAUAUACUGAUAAUAAAGAAUAUCCAUUGUAUAUCAUACAAUAUCUUUUACACAGAAAUAAUACUCCCGCUACUU